rnacentral:ncRNA from 1 species
GUCCUAUAAAGAUGUAUUAACGCAAGACAGUUGGGCAUCUCCCUGUAGGAUGUAGAUUAAUAGAAAUUCUAACAACAAUUCUUAUUGUGUGGCUACGGUCGAAAUAAGAUGAGCUAGGACGGAAUAGGUUAACCGUAAGACCUUGAGUUGAAAAACUCUAAAAUUGAGCUAAAAAUGUGGAUUUCUUAAAUUUCGCAUUUUCUAGUUACGGCGUU